UACAGAGGGUGCAAGCGUUGUUCGGAAUUAUUGGGCGUAAAGCGCGUGUAGGCGGCUUUGCAAGUCGGGUGUGAAAGCCCUCAGCUCAACUGAGGAAGUGCGCCCGAAACUGCAGAGCUUGAGUGCCGGAGAGGGUAGCGGAAUUCCCCAAGUAGAGGUGAAAUUCGUAGAUAUGGGGAGGAACACCGGUGGCGAAGGCGGCUACCUGGACGGUAACUGACGCUGAGACGCGAAAGCGUGGGUAGCAAACAGG
rnacentral:rRNA from 1 species